CCAGUUGUUCCGCCAGGAGCACAGCUGGGUAGCUGCGUGCGGUUUUGAUAAACGCUGAAGGCAUCUAAGCGUGAAACAUGCUUCAAGAUUAGAUAUCCCAUCAUUUAUUGAGUAAGGUCACUUGUAGACUACAAGUUCGAUAGGUCGGAGGUGUAAGCACAGUAAUGUGUUCAGCUGACCGAUACUAAUAGACCGAGGGCUUGAACCU
rnacentral:rRNA from 1 species